rnacentral:lncRNA from 1 species
AGAACUUGACAUGAUCUUCAGAAGUAAAUACCUAAUGAGCAUGACAUCUACCCUUAUGCAUGCAUUCAUUCCUCUCCCCUUUUCACUAACCAUCCCCAAAAGUUAUUACAAAUUAUUACAGCCCAAAAUGAAUCAGAAAAGAAAAGUUAAAAUUACAUCAAAAAUUCCAACUACAUCCAAACAGUCUAAUUCAGACUCAAAGCCCAACAAUAUGAGAUAAACCAACUUCUAGGAUCAGAUUUCCAAAAGACUUUCUCAUAUUUGGGGUGUGUCAAAGUUCCCAAGAGUCUCAAAGGAUUCCAGGAAGAGCUUUGCAGAAUUAAGAAUAUAGUGCAGUGUGGAAAUUCCAGCCCUCAUAUGUCCAAGUUCAGAGGGAACUCAAGGUCUCAAAGCAAGGCUAAUAAGAGAGGGGCAUAAAUUAAGAGUCUAAGAGUAACUGUAAGUGAAAAGGUGAAAGGGAGAGGCAUGGCAGGCUGGUGGUCAUGCCCAGCAAUUAGAAUGCUGGCACACCCCUGACCAGCCUAUUAGCCAAACACUGAGAGUUAGGAUCCAUUGGAUGCGGUUAUGGAUUGAACAAUAAUUAGGAUACUGUCAGGCCAUGAACUUAACUCAAGCACAUAGAAUGGAAUUGGGGUAGGGAUUCACAGCAGAAACAGAAGAAAAGAAAGGAAAUAUUUAGCACAAAUUGCUAAACUUGAGUAGUAAACAAAAGUCUGAAACUGUAAAGUAAACACAUAGGGGUGAAGUAGAAAAUUUAAAUAAAAGACAUACUAGUUGCAAAGAAAAAUAAGUAAGAAGACAGUAGCCUUGAGAGAUCCAAGUUGCAAACAAAGUAGUUCCAAAAGAUCUCAAGCAAAGCCAAGUGUUGAUUUCAAAAAGAAGUAUUGCAAGAAAUUAAGUAUCUAGAAGUGUUUUUGUUCGUGUCUUUCUGUGUGUUUGUAAAGAGGGAAGAAAGAUCUUUAUAUAGUUUUUGAAAACAAGCAGUACAUAGGCAAAGAGUGCACAAACAUGGAAGUAAUAAUCAAUUAGUAUCAAUUAAUACAACUGGACUCCUUUAAUUAAGGAUUCUAGUUCAAACGCUAGUCAAGGUAGAAUAAGGGAAAGAAAUCAGCUUAAUAAGGCUGAUUAGGGUAAAGAAAUCACAUAGGGCAUAAACAAGGUCAAAUACAUAGGGGAUAAUUAGGAAAUAUGGAAUAAUAGUGUAUUUGUAAAGUAAAAUAGAGCAUCAAUUCGAAAAUCAAUCAAG